rnacentral:rRNA from 1 species
CGAUGGUAGCUUGCUACCAGGCGUCGAGCGGCGGACGGGUGAGUAAUACUUAGGAAUCUACCUAGUAGUGGGGGAUAGCACGGGGAAACUCGUAUUAAUACCGCAUACGACCUACGGGAGAAAGGGGGCAGUUUACUGCUCUCGCUAUUAGAUGAGCCUAAGUCGGAUUAGCUAGAUGGUGGGGUAAAGGCCUACCAUGGCGACGAUCUGUAGCUGGUCUGAGAGGAUGAUCAGCCACACCGGGACUGAGACACGGCCCGGACUCCUACGGGAGGCAGCAGUGGGGAAUAUUGGACAAUGGGGGAAACCCUGAUCCAGCCAUGCCGCGUGUGUGAAGAAGGCCUUUUGGUUGUAAAGCACUUUAAGCAGUGAAGAAGACUCUUCGGUUAAUACCCGGAGACGAUGACAUUAGCUGCAGAAUAAGCACCGGCUAACUCUGUGCCAGCAGCCGCGGUAAUACAGAGGGUGCAAGCGUUAAUCGGAAUUACUGGGCGUAAAGCGAGCGUAGGUGGCUUGAUAAGUCAGAUGUGAAAUCCCCGGGCUUAACCUGGGAACUGCAUCUGAAACUGUUAGGCUAGAGUAGGUGAGAGGGAAGUAGAAUUUCAGGUGUAGCGGUGAAAUGCGUAGAGAUCUGAAGGAAUACCGAUGGCGAAGGCAGCUUCCUGGCAUCAUACUGACACUGAGGCUCGAAAGCGUGGGUAGCAAACAGGAUUAGAUACCCUGGUAGUCCACGCCGUAAACGAUGUCUACUAGUCCGUUGGGUCCCUUGAGGACUUAAUGACGCAGCUAACGCAAUAAGUAGACC